UACGUAGGGUGCAAGCAUUAAUCGGAUUUAUUGGGCGUAAAGGGCGCGUAGGCGGGAGAGAAAGUUAGAUGUGAAAGCCCGGAGCUCAACUCCGGAACUGCAUCUAAAACUUCUUUUCUAGAGGAUGGACGGAGAAAAUGGAAUCCCACGUGUAGCGGUGAAAUGCGUAGAUAUGUGGAAGAACACCGGUGGCGAAAGCGAUUUUCUAGUUUAGACCUGACGCUGAGGCGCGAAAGCUAGGGGAGCAAACAGG
rnacentral:rRNA from 1 species